AUGGGAGAUGCUCCUCAGGGAGGAAGCCAUGUGAGGGGGCCGGCUCUGUGGCAGACCUAUAUGAAGCUUUGGCAGUUCAAAGGGUCAGAGAGACCCCUCAAAGAAAGAUACUGGCCUUGUUGAACAGCUGGACUGACAGGCCCAAGUGAAUGAACACCCAUGCCCCUGGAAACUGUGCAUUAGAGGAGAAAACAGAGAAACUUCCUUUGGGCCUGACUGGGUAUUCAGUGACCAUCAGGUCAUUUCAUUUGAUUUGUUGGAAUCCUGACCAAACUGGAAAAGUGGCAGUAACCAUGGAAAAGUCAAAGACAAAAUGACAGCCAAAUCACACCAGUAAAUAAGUGGAGUGAAGACACGUCUGUUUUCACAGCUGAACACUGGAAAUUGCAAAUUUGAUUGCCACUGGCAUUGGAUGCUGGAACUGCUUCUGUUUUUACUGACACUAGCAUACCGGGAUACUUCGAAGUUGCUGUAGUCUCUGCAAUAUUGAGUGUUGGAAGGUGCUAGAAAAUGAGUGUCUGUCUUUUUUGUCUUU
ensembl:lncRNA THAP3P1 THAP3 pseudogene 1